rnacentral:tmRNA from 3 species
GGGAGCGACUUGGCUUCGACAGGAGUAAGUCUGCUUAGAUGGCAUGUCGCUUUGGGCAAAGCGUAAAAAGCCCAAAUAAAAUUAAACGCAAACAACGUUAAAUUUGCUCCUGCUUACGCUAAAGCUGCGUAAGUUCAGUUGAGCCUGAAAUUUAAGUCAUACUAUCUAGCUUAAUUUUCGGUCAUUUUUGAUAGUGUAGCCUUGCGUUUGACAAGCGUUGAGGUGAAAAAAGUCUUAGCCUUGCUUUUGAGUUUUGGAAGAUGAGCGAAGUAGGGUGAAGUAGUCAUCUUUGCUAAGCAUGUAGAGGUCUUUGUGGGAUUAUUUUUGGACAGGGGUUCGAUUCCCCUCGCUUCCACCA